rnacentral:miRNA from 1 species
CCCAGUUAAAUUAGAAUCACGAACAACAACUAACUGGGUUUGCUUAAGUAUAGCCCAUGAAGUAUUUGGGGCAUACUUGUGCUAAAAAUAAUGACCUAUUUGCAAUUCUAAUGUAUCUAAGCACCUGUA